rnacentral:rRNA from 1 species
GAUGAACGCUGGCGGCGUGCUUAACACAUGCAAGUCGAACGAAGCAUUUAAGACAGAUUACUUCGGUUUGAAGUCUUUUAUGACUGAGUGGCGGACGGGUGAGUAACGCGUGGGUAACCUGCCUCAUACAGGGGGAUAGCAGCUGGAAACGGCUGGUAAUACCGCAUAAGCGCACAGUACCACAUGGUACAGUGUGAAAAACUCCGGUGGUAUGAGAUGGACCCGCGUCUGAUUAGCUUGUUGGCGGGGUAACGGCCCACCAAGGCGACGAUCAGUAGCCGACCUGAGAGGGUGACCGGCCACAUUGGGACUGAGACACGGCCCAGACUCCUACGGGAGGCAGCAGUGGGGAAUAUUGUACAAUGGAGGAAACUCUGAUGCAGCGACGCCGCGUGAGUGAAGAAGUAGUUCGCUAUGUAAAGCUCUAUCAGCAGGGAAGAUAGUGACGGUACCUGACUAAGAAGCUCCGGCUAAAUACGUG